CUCGUAGGUGGCCAACUAAGUCAGACGUGAAAUCCCUCGGCUUAACCGGGGAACUGCGUCUGAUACUGGAUGGCUCGAGUUUGGGAGAGGGAUGCGGAAUUCCAGGUGUAGCGGUGAAAUGCGUAGAUAUCUGGAGGAACACCGGUGGCGAAGGCGGCAUCCUGGACCAACACUGACACUGAGGAGCGAAAGCCAGGGGAGCAAACG
rnacentral:rRNA from 1 species